GACCAUGACAGUAUAUGUCAACAGUAUAUAGUGCUAAAUUCAUUAAACACUGUGAACUCAUGUUAGUAAAAUUAUGGGAGAUACAGGGGACCAUGACAUAUAAUGAUUAAGUAGCUGCAACCUGGGUAUUUUCAUAGUUGCAAAGGCUUUCCCUCCGAGCACAAACUGCUCUCUGUUGGGCGUGGGUUUUCUUUUUCUGAUCAGGACUUCAGUAUAUAGAAUCUUGGCCUUUAGUCUGGAAAGUCUUCCCUAUUUCAUCAGCACAAAUGUGUGAAAAAAGCUGUGGAGAAUGAGAGAAACUGAAAAGGAUAAAAUUAAUAUAUGGAGGAUAUAGUAAGUGAAGGUAAAAGUAAAUGUGAGCUGAUAAAAGCUGUUCAAAGCUAGUGAGAAGCAAUGGGCUGAGCGUGGUUCCUCAGCAUGCUUCCUAGAGGAGAGCAUCUUAACUGCUUUUGGUAGCAGAACUUUCUGUCUUUGUCCUCUCUGUCCUUGCUGACAAAAUCCAUGGCAACUAUGGCAGCUGUAAAACUUCAAACAAGAAUUUAUGUAGCUUGUUGUCCUGUUUGCAUACUUCUGGGAAGAACAGCAGUGUGUGGUAACGCAGCAGUUUAGGAUCUUCCUGAGCUAAAUUUUUCAAUUGACUACUGGGAUGAAAGGUCCUUACAAAGAUCUUUGUAAGCCUAGGCUGAACUACAUUUAGCAAAGCAAGAGGAGGAGCAGUAUGAAUUAGAUCUUCUCUUGGUCCCUGAAACGUACAUAGAAGUAUAACCAAAAUACCUUCAGCCAGCUCCACAGUAGCUGUUAGGGCAGCAGUGUCCUGGCUGUUUUGAUGAACUCAGAUUAAAACUGUAAAGCGCGUCUUUAAAAUAGGUGGGAAGGAGUUCAGGGAAACCCUAUGACCUGGAAGAAAAUACCAUCCGUAUGGGGCAUUGUUUUAGGCCGAAAGACUCCUUGUUUGUUUGGUAUAGGAUUUGAAUCACAGGAGGAACUUGUUGUCACUCUAUAAAUGAAUGAUUACUUGUCUUUUUAUGGAGAGCAAAUGUAGCCUUUUUAAUAUGGUUGCCAAGAGCCCUGGCAUCUUCCUAACAAAAACUCUGGAUUUAAUUAUACCAGGGACCCUUCAAAUUUUACAGCAUAGUUCCUGUACGAAACAGAACUGCUUGUAGCUACCUGCCUUCCUUGCUCAGUGCAAAGCGAAGAAGCUUGGAGUACAAAGGACCAUUUAUGUGUAGUGACUUGGCUGAAGACAUACAGUGGAGAAGGGAUAAUGCCUCAGGUGCAGUACAGGAGCCUGCAGACUGUUCUCGGUUGUGUAGGUUAUAAGCCCAAAGAGGAACAGGCUGUGCAUAAUCUAUCCAACUCUCAACAGGCUCAGCCACAGAUUUCCUGGCAAGCUGAUGCUAUUUAAGAAGAACACUGGCAUCUAUUUUGAAGAAAAAAUAAAUCAAGAUCCUGCAUGCAGGUCACUCUUCUUCCCAUACAGGACUGAUGGCAGUUCCCUCUGGAGUACAUCAGCACUGCCCCUACUCUGGACUGCUGGAUAGGAAUGAAAGGGCUCAAAUUCACAUCUUAACAAACUGUGGACAAAAAUGUGUGGUCAAAAGUUACUUUUGAAACUUCUUUAAAGAGGUAGGGUUGUUUGGUUUGGGGCCUUUUUUGUUGUUGUUCUGUGUUGUUGUUGUUGUUGUUUUUUUUCCCCACCUGAAGGUGAGGGGUGGAGAUCCUAGAUCCCAACAUUAAUGUUUCACACCUGCUUGUCUGAGUUAGCUCCCUGCUGUGCCUUGCUGAAGCCUGCAGGUUUGCUGCUUUGUGGUUCUGUGAGAGCAGGGUGACGUCUUUCAGGCAAGCCUGUGUCACAGCAGGCCCCUUCUAUGCAGCUGUGGUUCACUGGUUGCCUGAGAUCCACAGACUAUAUCCAGUAGUUUCCCCAGCUGUUUCCUCCUGUUCAGCUGGAGGGAAAGAGUUGCACACAGGUCCAGUGCUGAUGCUCCUGUUUUGCUGAUGUGAUCUGUGGACCACUGGAUACAGUUACCUUGCAGUUGAGACACGUUGCUUGAAAUCAGUUUGGGCCAUUCAACCAGAAUUAUCAACAACUAUUUUUUUUUUUUUCCUCCCCCCUGUUGCCCUGGUCACAGUUAUGAUCUGUUUCCAAGUUCUCCUCAGCACCUCUACUCCAUGAUGGAUGCUUGGAACAUGAUAGCUACUCCCUUCAGCAAAUUCAGGCACCUUAUUUGGGCUCCCUACGAUUUUCCUGUGUUCUGCCAUGUAAGAGUGCAAUACUAAACCUUCUCACUGAAGUUGAAUAAAGAGGAGUUAUUGUCACCUGUCUCACAAAAGUUGUGUAUGUCUGUAGAUAAAUAUUAAACAGCAUUUGUAAUAAGAUCACCCUGCUUGUUUUUGAGCAAUUUGGUAUCUGGUCUGACCUGAAUCACUGCUCUCUAACCAGAUCUUUUGAUUUCUGUUGCCAUAUUGCAUUAUUUUCCCCUACAGGUAAAUAUAUUGCUAUGCAGACUAAAUUUCUGCAGAAUAGCAGGGAACAUGAAAAUUGUCUUGAAAAUACGCUAUUGUUACAAAGACUUUGAAUGAGAAAUACAUGAAAUAUCAUUGUGAUUUCUUCCUACAUUGGUUUAGUCAUCUUUUAAAAAAAUAACAAAUGCUUUGAAACAAAAGAAUACAGAGUUUUUUAAACAUCUCUUAUUAUCCUUUAAGGCAAUAGAUUUUUUUGAGGAGUUUCACAUAUUGUCAUUAAAAACUUCCACAGCAAAUCUACUAAUGGUGUCUGUUCACUAGUCCAGCUAAAAUGUUUCUGUUUAUGUAGUAUUUGUCACACUUACUAUGUCUUUCAGCCUUUUCUUCAAGUUCCUGAACUCUAAAACAGUUUUUGGUGGAUGUGUGGGCUCCUGUGUAGUGACACCAAGCCUCCUGACAAUGGGAUUGCUUCUUGUUGAUGCCUUUUGUGGGUCUUUUGCAAGUAUUUUGAGGAAACCCAAUGAUCCGCAGGCUGUAAGCUGAAAACCAUUAGUGUAUUGCUUUUUGUUCUGUGUCAGGAAUUAUUAUAUACUGUAUUAAAUACCUUGAAAGUA